CUUGAUAACAUCCCGACGUCCCCGAAAUGGCAAGAAAGUUAGCAGUUCUUUACCAGAGAAAAAGCUUGAAAACUCUACUGAUGAAACAAAUGUUUCGAGCGAACAAACUUCAACAAGCCUUAACCAAACUCCUUCAUCUAUUAUCCCCAAGCAUUCUGAUGUUUGUGAUAAGUCUCAUCCGCAUUCAAGCUCUUCAUU